rnacentral:sRNA from 1 species
GCCAGGUGUGGUGGUGCACACCUGUAAUCCUAGUGACUCCAGAGGCUGAGGCAGGAGGAUGGCAAGUUCAAAGCCAGCCUCAG